AUUGAACGCUGGCGGCAUGCUUUACACAUGCAAGUCGAACGGUAACAGGCCGCAAGGUGCUGACGAGUGGCGAACGGGUGAGUAAUGCAUCGGAACGUGCCCAGUCGUGGGGGAUAACGCAGCGAAAGCUGCGCUAAUACCGCAUACGAUCUAUGGAUGAAAGCGGGGGACCGAAAGGCCUCGUGCGAUUGGACCGGCCGAUGUCAGAUUAGGUAGUUGGUGGGGUAAAGGCUCACCAAGCCAACGAUCUGUAGCUGGUCUGAGAGGACGACCAGCCACACUGGGACUGAGACACGGCCCAGACUCCUACGGGAGGCAGCAGUGGGGAAUUUUGGACAAUGGGCGCAAGCCUGAUCCAGCAAUGCCGCGUGCAGGAAGAAGGCCUUCGGGUUGUAAACUGCUUUUGUACGGAACGAAACGGUCCGGGCUAAUACCCUGGGCUAAUGACGGUACCGUAAGAAUAAGCACCGGCUAGCUACGUGCCAGCCGCCGCGGUAACAC
rnacentral:rRNA from 1 species